rnacentral:rRNA from 1 species
CGAAAGUCUGACGGAGCAACGCCGCGUGAGUGAAGAAGGUUUUCGGAUCGUAAAAACUCUGGUUUUCAGGGACGAAUGUGUGGAUUGUAAAAUAAUGAUCCAUAAUGACGGUACCUGACAAGAAAGCCACGGCUAACUACGUGCCAGCAGCCGCGGUAAUACGUAGGUGGCAAGCGUUGUCCGGAAUUAUUGGGCGUAAAGCGCGCGCAGGUGGGAUAAUCAGUCUGAUGUUAAAGUUCGGGGCUUAACCCCGUGAAGCAUUGGAUACUGUUAUUCUUGAGUGCAGGAGAGGAAAGUGGAAUUCCUAGUGUAGCGGUGAAAUGCGUAGAUAUUAGGAGGAACACCAGUGGCGAAGGCGACUUUCUGGACUGUGUCUGACACUGAGGCGCGAAAGCCAGGGUAGUGAACGGGAUUAGAUACCCCGGUAAUCCUGGCCGUAAACGAUGGGUACUAGGUGUUGGGGGUAUCGACCCCUCCAGUGCCGGAGUUAACGCAAUAAGUACCCCGCCUGGGGAGUACGGCCGCAAGGUUG